ACUCAACACCAAUACAUUAAAAUGGGUGAAUCAUCGCUGUUAAAGCAAGCUGCCUCAGAGCAGAUCCUUGAUCAGCGGGUUAGCUCAAAACUUGUCUUUACGAGUUU
rnacentral:sRNA from 1 species